GUAACGCCUUCCUCAUACCCAUGGAGGACAGGCAUAUACUGCACAGUUCUAAUAUUGGUAUUUCUCCAUUAGGGAAUCUGUUCCCUUGGAUUUUUCCUUGGACCUUCCCUUUUUGGGUUCUCCCCUCAAUGUGUGGUUAGCUGUGUGGCUGCUCCAUCCCUGCAUCCCUGAAGGGAUCUUUUCAUUUCUGCAUGUUCUACACACUGGAGGUAUCACAAGAGUGAUACCUUUGGACUGUACAUGACCUGCACCGUAUAUUGAUAUUCCAUCCAGCAGUCAUUGGUUGGACACGCCUGGGAGUUCCGUGUAUGAUCACCACUGAGAUUAUAUAGUAUGCAUUCUUGUCCCUGAAGAAGCCCGAAGGGCGAAACAUGUUGGACCCCCUGCGUACAUCAUUCUGUCACCUCACUUUUGGUGAAAUAUAUCAUCUUAUGUGAUCAUGUUUUUAUUCUAUGUGUAUAUUUACAUGUCCAAUGUCAAUUAAAUUAUAUUUUUUAUCUA